AGGUCAGUCAACUUUCUACAGAUGAAUCAAGAAAUAAGAGGGUGUGCUGUUUGGAGUUCUGGAGAAGGGCUAUAAAUAGACAUGUGUGAAAGAAGUGGACCCUGGAGGAGGAGGGACAGGAAACAUGCUGGCUGGCUGGCAGGAGGCUCAGCAACUGGCCUUGAACUCUCUUGACCUACCGAAGCUGAGGUUUUCCAUACAAUGCUACUGAGGAGCUCAAGCCGAAUGGAGCUGGCUGAAAUGAAAUAAAAAUAGCCCUUUCCAGUUACGGCUCUGUAGCCAGCAGCUGGAUUGAUAUUCAGAGAGGAUUGGAUUCAAGUAUAAUUGAAUUCAAAGCAUAAUAAAUUGAAGCCAACUCAUUUGACUUAUGA
rnacentral:lncRNA from 1 species